CCUUUGUGCCACCACCACUCCCCAUCCCCUAACCCUGCUCUGAGGGGUUUUUAAUGAAGUGGCAUCUGAAGUAUGCGCUCUAGACAUUGGCCCUGGAUCCUUGGGGGCAGGGGGCGGGGAGGAGAGAAAGGGGAGAGGCACGCCA
ensembl:miRNA